rnacentral:rRNA from 1 species
CGGCAAACAGACUUUGAUCCGGAGAUGUCUGAAUGGGGGAACCCAGCCAUCAUAAGAUGGUUAUCUUGUACUGAAUACAUAGGUGCAAGAAGCGAACCAGGGGAACUGAAACAUCUAAGUACCCUGAGGAAAAGAAAUCAACCGAGAUUCCCUUAGUAGUGGCGAGCGAACGGGGACUAGCCCUUAAGUGGCUUUGAGAUUAGCGGAACGCUCUGGAAAGUGCGGCCAUAGUGGGUGAUAGCCCUGUACGCGAAAAUCUCUUAGUCAUGAAAUCGAG